GCUGGCAGUGGAUGCUGUCCUGGACUCAGAGGAUCACUCCUCAAUUUGUAUGGUUGUGGUCUGAGCGUCUUGGCAAUGGGAAGCUCUGGUUACCCAAAAAGAAGGACCUAAGCUGCCUGGUUGAGGGGACAGGAGCAUGCACCCAGGCCUUACCUAUGGGAAGUUUUGUGUUCCAGCUGACUCCCUCCAAGAGAGCUGCCAACGUGCUUGUUCAUCAGAACUAUGUGAAACACCUGAGUUCAUUGGGACUGGAGGAAAACUGCCUCAGAGACAGAGGUACACAGCUUCCCUGGAUUGCUGGCUACAUGCCUGAUCUGAGGUCUGUGGUCAGUUACUUUGCAUUGGAUUUUUCACUUUUCAUUUGCCUUGUAUAGGUAUCACCAAAUGAUGUAUGCUUUCUGCUUUGCACUGUCUUUUUGGGGGGGAAAAACUACAUAAUAAAUAACUCAGCAUACUUCA
rnacentral:lncRNA from 1 species